AUUGAACCCGGGCGGCAGGCCUAACACAUGCAAGUCGAGCGGAGGAAGGGAGCUUGCUCCUGGAUUCAGCGUCGGACGGGUGAGUAAAGCCUAGGAAUCUGCCGGGGAGUGGGGUAUAACGUCCGGAAACAGGCGCUAAUAGCGCAUACGUCGAGAGGGAGGAAGUGGGGGAUCUUCGGACCUCACGCUAACAGAUGAGCCUAGGUCGGAUUAGCUAGUUUGUGGGGUAAAGGCCUACCAAGGCGACUAUUCGUAACUGGUCUGAGAGGAUGAUCAGUCACACUGGAACUGUGACACGGUCCAGACUCCUAUGAGACGACGCAGUGGGGAAUAUUGGACAUUGGGCGAAAGAAUGAUCCAGCCAUGCCGCGUGUGUGAAGAAGGUCUUCGGAUUGUAAAGCACUUUAAGUUGGGAGGAAGCGCAGUCAGUUACUACCUUGCUGUUUUGACGUUACCAACAGAAUAAGCACCGGCUAACUUCGUG
rnacentral:rRNA from 1 species